AUUGGACGCUGGCGGCAGGCUUAACACAUGCAAGUCGAGCGAGCGGCGGACGGGUGGGUACUGUAUGGGAAACUGCCUGAUGGAGGGGGCUAACUACUGGAAACGGUAGCUCAUACCGCAUACUAUCAGACGGGCCCAUAUGGGAUUGGCUAGUAGGGGUGGUAAGGGCUCACCGAGGCGACGAUCCCUAGCUGGUCUGAGAGGAUGAUAAGCGACACUGGGACUGAGACAAGGCCCAGACUCCUACGGUAGGAAGCAGUGGGGAAUAUUGCACAAUGGGCGCAAGCCUAAUGCAGCCAUGCCGCGUGUAUGAAGAAGGCUUUAGGGUUGUAAAGUACUUUCAGCGGGGAGGCGUUACCCGCAGAAGAAGCACCGGCUAACUCCGUGCCAGCAGCCGCGGUAAUAC
rnacentral:rRNA from 1 species